rnacentral:rRNA from 1 species
AAGUAAGACUACCUGCUGAAUUUAAGCAUAUUAUUAAGCAGAGGAAAAGAAACUAACAAGGAUACCCCUAGUAAUGGCGAAUGAAGCGGGUAAAGCUCAAAUUUAAAAUCCCUGUCCUCAGCGGACAGGGAGUUGUAGUCUAGGAUCAGUGCAUGAUAGAGUCCUGCCCCGGUAAAAGUGCUCUGGAAAGGGCCAUCAUAGAAGGUGAAAAUCCUGUACAUGACCGGAGGCUGUUGGGUUCAACGAUUCUUGCGCCGAUACAGAGUCGGGUUGCUCGGGAAUGCAGCCUUAAAUGGGUGGUAAAUCUCAUCUAAAGCUAAAUACUGACAUGAGACCGAUAGCGAACAAGUACCGUGAGGGAAAGAUGAAAAGAACUUUGAAAAGAGAGUUAAAAGUACUUGAAAUUGUUAACAGGGAAUCGCUUGUAUUCCAAGCUCUGAUUGUAGG